AGUUUCCAAUGGCUUAUGAUCCGAAGCAUGCUGCAUUAUCCGUUAAAUACGGUGGAGGUAACGUGAUGGCAUUUGUGUGCAUGGCUUCCAGUGGCACUAUGUCCCUAGUGUUUAUGAUGUGAUAGAAGCAGCCAGAUGCAUUCCGAAGUGUAUAGGAAUAUAUUGUCUGUUCAGAUUUAGGCAAAUUUAGUGAAGUUGAUUGGAUGGCGCUUUACUUUACAGAUGGUCAAUGACCCAAACAUACUACGAAAGCAACCCUUUUUUAAGGCAAAGAAGUGGACUGUUCUGCAAAGGCAGAGUUAGUCACUUGAUCUCAACAUGAUCGAGCAUGCAUUUUACUUGCUGAAGAAAAGACUUAGGGCAGAAAGACCC